GCUUACGGCCAUACCACCCUGAGCAUGCCCGAUCUAGUCUGAUUUCGGAAGCUAAGCAGCGUUGGUCCUGAUUAAUACUUGGAUGGGAGACCGCCUGAGAAUACCAGGUGCUGUAAGCU
ensembl:rRNA 5S_rRNA 5S ribosomal RNA